UACGGAGGGUGCGAGCGUUGUCCGGAAUCACUGGGCGUAAAGGGCGCGUAGGUGGCGCGAGUAGUCAACGGUGAAAGCCCGGGGCUCAACCCCCGGGGUCGGCCGUCGAUACUCUCGUGCUUGAGCACUGUAGAGGCAGGUGGAAUUCCGGGUGUAGCGGUGGAAUGCGUAGAGAUCCGGAAGAACACCGGUGGCGAAGGCGGCCUGC
rnacentral:rRNA from 1 species